CAAGAUCAAAGUCCAUACCUGAAACAAACGUCCAAGCUCGUUAGUCUCGACGAGCUAAAGGCAACAAUAAUAAAUGAACGUAUGUGCAUGCUAAAAAAAAGGGGGGGGGGGAGAACGAAAAACAACAUUAACGACCUACCAAUUGGACGACUCAUCCCCACUUUCAACAUGUUCUUCAUGGUAAGGACUGACCCUAAGUCAGGUGCAAGGGGCGGAACAUCAACCAAGUCCUGGAUUUGAGCUUCUAGAAAGGGAGUAGCUUCUACUUGGCUAUUGAAGAGACGAAUUUGGGGGUGUCGCCAGUUUGUGUUAAAAGAAAACUGAACCUUUGAAGGUCGGACGAAGAAAAAUCGGGACUUCCAUCCGCUAUUCGAAUUCCUAAACUUAGGGAAUUGUAUAGGUACCCUAGUGGUAAAAUAGACAAAGGCAUUACAUUGAACUAACUCAUGCAUUUCGAAGAUACACCUGAAAAGAUCCAUGGAAGGUGAAAUUCCCUUUUUGAGACAGACGUACAGAAAAUAGAAUGCUUUUCUCCAUGCAUUAGGAUUGAUUUGACUAGGAGUAAGGUGGAACUCGUUGAAAAUCGAUACAAAAAAGGGAUGAAUGGAGAACCGAAAACCCCCGUCCAUGACAUCCUUGUACAUGGCUAUCUCACGGGGGUUGGACCCGGGGAGCCUUUCUUUAGGACCAGGGGCUCUAUAGACGUAAUCAUCAACCCGGUCAUACUUUCCUAGACAUUUUUCUAACUUGAGUGGAGAAUUGUAGAGACUAUAACUUUUUGGGAUAUCUAAGGGGACAACCUCACCGGCCAGGUCACGCCCGAUUUCCAAGUUUUGGCCUGGAAAUUUGGAAGAACCAAUGUGUCUCUUUGGGAGAUUUGGAACAAAUGGCUGAGAGUCAGUUGAAUGAGUUUCACUAUCACUAUCAUAAAGGGAUUUACUGGAUGAAGGGGGCGAGUCACUACAAGGGCGGAUCGAAGGACCGGACAAACCACGAGAAUUAAUGGACGGAGGUAGACGGCCAGCCCGAAGGCUGGCCGUAGGUCGACCAGCCAAGGGGCUGGUCGAUUUGUCGACCAGCCCCGCUGGCCGACGACCGACCCCCCCAUGGGUCGGUCGGACUUCCGCCGGCAUCCUCCGACGAAGGCCCGGUCGAAUCACUACACCCCCCAUCACUUUUUUCAUUGGAAGGAGAAGAAAGGAUAGUUUUAUACAUGACAACAAAAAUGAUGAAGAGAAGGAAUUGAAAACAAGACCUUGGAUGUAAAUAAAGAGAGGAAAUUACCUUAGAAGAGAGGAAAUCUAGGAAGUUGAGAGAAAGUGAAAGUGAUCUCCUAGAAUGAGAAUCACCCCCCUUUAUAAUACUAGAAUUCAAAUUUUUUGGGGGGGAAUUGGAGGAAAAUCUCCCCCCAAUAUUAAAGCCAUUAGUGAGGAUCCAUGUGUACAGUACAAU
rnacentral:lncRNA from 1 species